rnacentral:rRNA from 1 species
AUUGAACGCUGGCGGCAUGCUUUACACAUGCAAGUCGAACGGUAACAGGCCGCAAGGUGCUGACGAGUGGCGAACGGGUGAGUAAUGCAUCGGAACGUGCCCAGUCGUGGGGGAUAACGCAGCGAAAGCUGCGCUAAUACCGCAUACGAUCUAUGGAUGAAAGCGGGGGACCGUAAGGCCUCGCGCGAUUGGAGCGGCCGAUGUCAGAAUUAGGUAGUUGGUGGGGUAAAGGCUCACCAAGACAACGAUCUGUAGCGUGUAUGAGAGGACGACCGGCCACACCGGGACUGGGACACGGCCCAGACUCCUACGGGAGGGAGCAGUUGGGAAUUUUGGACAAUGGGCGCAAGCCUGAUCCAGCAAUGCCGCGUGCAGGAAGAAGGCCUUCGGGUUGUAAGCUGCUUUUGUACGGAACGAAACGGUCCUGGUUAAUACCCGGGGCUAAUGACGGUACCGUAAGAAUAAGCACCGGCUAACUACGUGCCAGCAGCCGCCGUAAGAC